AGCGAACGUUAGCGGCGCGCCUAACACAUGCAAGUCGCACGAGAAACGGAGCAAUCCGCGGUACAGUGGCGCACGGGUGAGUAACACGUGGAUGACCUUCCCUGGAGUGGUGGAUAACCUGCCGAAAGGCGGGCUAAUACAGCAUAGGAUCACGACGCUUUGGCGAUGUGGUGAAAGCGGGCCUCUAUAUAUAAGCUCGCGCUCCGGGACGGGUCCGCGUCCCAUCAGCUAGUUGGUGAGGUAACGGCUCACCAAGGCAACGACGGGUAGCUGGUCUGAGAGGAUGGCCAGCCACACUGGAACUGAGACACGGUCCAGACUCCUACGGGAGGCAGCAGUGGGGAAUCUUGCGCAAUGGGCGAAAGCCUGACGCAGCGACGCCGCGUGGGCGAAGAAGGCC
rnacentral:rRNA from 1 species